rnacentral:rRNA from 1 species
CUUGGUCAUUUAGAGGAAGUAAAAGUCGUAACAAGGUUUCCGUAGGUGAACCUGCGGAAGGAUCAUUAUUGAUUUUUAAAGAUGUGCUGGCACUCCUUCACCGGUUUGCAUGUGCACUCUGCAAAAUCUCCUUCUCUUACCCCACUGUGCACACCCAAGUAGACAAACAGAGUUACAGAGCAAUCUGUGUAAUUCCUGAUUUGCCUAUGUUUUUAUCAAACACCAAUAACAAUCUCAGAAUGAUCUAUAUAGUAAGCUUUUAACAAGCUGAAAUUUAAUACAACUUUCAACAAUGGAUCUCUUGGUUCUCGCAUCGAUGAAGAACGCAGCGAAUUGCGAUAUGUAAUGUGAAUUGCAGAAUUCAGUGAAUCAUCGAAUCUUUGAACGCACCUUGCACCCUCUGGCAUUCCGGAGGGUAUGCCUGUUUGAGUGUCAUUAAUCUCUCAACACAAGAAACUUUGUCUCCUUGUGCUUGGAUAUUGAAGGUUUUGCUGGCGCAAACAACUGUCAGCUCCUUUUAAAUGUAUUAGCAGAGCAGUAUAGGACUGGCCUCGGUUUGAUAAGAAACUUUAUCUAUGCUGUCGCUGGGUUUUCCUCUUUGUGCUCAGCUUCAAAUUGUCUUCGGACUGUCUCUUGAGGCAACAAAAUCUCUAUUGAUCGACCUCAAAUCAGGUAGGACUACCCGCUGAACUUAAGCAUAUCAAUAAGCGGAGGA